UUCGUCCUACGGGAGGCAGCAGUGGGGGAUAUUGCACAAUGGGGGGAACCCUGAUGCAGCGACGCCGCGUGGGUGAAGAAGCGCCUCGGCGCGUAAAGCCCUGUCAGCAGGGAAGAAAAUGACGGUACCUGAAGAAGAAGCCCCGGCUAACUACGUGCCAGCAGCCGCGGGAAUACGUAGGGGGGAAGCGUUAUCCGGAUUUAGUGGGAGUAAAGGGGGCGCAGACGGCGAUGCAAGCCGGGAGUGAAAGACGGGGGCGGAACCACGGGACGGCUCUUGGAACUGCGGGGAUGGAGUGCAGGAGG
rnacentral:rRNA from 1 species